rnacentral:rRNA from 1 species
UACAGAGGUCUCAAGCGUUGUUCGGAUUCAUUGGGCGUAAAGGGUGUGUAGGUGGCGCCGUUAGUCGGGUGUGAAAUUUCGGAGCUUAACUCCGAAACUGCAUUCGAUACUGCGGUGCUUGAGGACUGGAGAGGAGACUGGAAUUCAUGGUGUAGCAGUGAAAUGCGUAGAGAUCAUGAGGAAGACCAGUGGCGAAGGCGGGGUCUCUGGACAGUUCCUGACACUGAGACACGAAGGCCAGGGGAGCAAACGGGG